rnacentral:rRNA from 1 species
UACGUAGGGGGCAAGCGUUGUCCGGAAUCAUUGGGCGUAAAGAGCGUGUAGGCGGCCAGGUAGGUCUGCUGUGAAAACUCGAGGCUCAACCUCGAGAUGUCGGCGGAAACCAUCUGGCUAGAGUCCGGAAGAGGAGAGUGGAAUUCCUGGUGUAGCGGUGAAAUGCGCAGAUAUCAGGAAGAACACCCGUGGCGAAGGCGGCAUC